UACGUAGGGUCCGAGCGUUGUCCGGAAUUAUUGGGCGUAAAGGGCUCGUAGGCGGUCUGUCACGUCGGGAGUGAAAACUUACAGCUUAACUGUGAGCGUGCUUUCGAUACGGGCAGACUUGAGGCAUUCAGGGGAGAACGGAAUUCCUGGUGUAGCGGUGAAAUGCGCAGAUAUCAGGAGGAACACCGGUGGCGAAGGCGGAUCUCUGGGCCUUACCUGACGCUGAGGAGCGAAAGCGUGGGGAGCGAACAGG
rnacentral:rRNA from 1 species